AUCAACUCUUCUUUCAUCAACUCUUCUUCAUCAACUCUUCUUCAUCAACUCUUUGGACUGUUUGAGGAAACUGUGGAGCUGUGACGCAUCAAGAAACAACUCACCUGAGUUGUUCUGCGUCGACAUUUUGGACUGUUUGAGGAAACUCCCUUCCUGCCUGCUUCCUGACAGGUGGAGCUGGGACUCAUUCCAGGGAACAGCUCACCUGUGUCAGAGAUUUCUCUCCAGGUGGAGAGCGACCCUCUUCUUCAUCAACUCUUCUUCAUCAACUCUUUGGACCGUUUGAGGAAACUAAAACAAACGGUCGUCUCCAUCAGAGUAAAGUGAGACACAACACAACUCUACUGUUUCUGAUAAAAGGUUCAAGGUUCAAGGACCCAUCAGAGACCAGACCCUGACUGGACCUGAACCCAGCUGUGUGUCCAUGAAGAGUCACCGGUCCAUAGAGAUACCACUACUUUAAAAAAAGACCUUUAAGGGAGAGGCGAGUAGAAAUGGAGGAGAGAGAUGGAGAGAUGGAGAGACUUGAAUGGCAGAAGCUGCAAAUUGAAAAGGAAAUUGAAAUGUUAAGAAGAAGAAGAUUGAGGACGCAGCAGAAACCAGAGUGUCCUGAACCUGAACCUGAACCCAGCUGUGUGUCCUUCAAGAGUGACUGGUCAAAUGAACGCCAUAUGAAUUUUAAAGGUCAACAACCCUCUGCUGAAAACAGGAUCCAUGAAAGACCAGACUCUGCGAGAACCUGAACCCAGCUGUGUGUCCUUCAAGAGUGACCGGUCAUAUGAACACCCAUUUGACUUUACAGGUCGAACAUUCCUCUGCUGG